GGAGAGGUGCCAGAGUGGUCGAAUGGGCAUGUCUGGAGAACAUGUGACUCGCAAGGGUCCCUGGGUUCGAAUCCCAGCCUCUCCG
rnacentral:tRNA from 1 species